UCUAUAGAUAAUAAUUCGAUGUUAAGCCCAACCCUUAUUCAUGUGACCUUUACUCGUCAGUUCCCAAUGCGCAAUCGCACAUUGUGCCUCGAAGGGAAAAUGGUCGAACAGGGGAAUGUUAUCGCGGAAAUGGUACGCGAAUUAACAGUUUCAGCGAGAAAAGAAACAAAAAAGAGGUGCAGACAAGUUAUUGUAAAUUAAAAAUAAAAAACGUCGAUGAGAUCGGUCAUUAAAAUCACUCGAAACACCUGCGACGCAGGCAAAGUCAAACAAAAGUAGCCGACGGUUUGCGUAAUGUUUACAUUUCUUAAAUUUUCCAGAUCACAUGAAAAAAAAUCUCAACGUGUACAUAAUUGUCAAAAAUAUGUUUAUAAAUUUACGGGCAGUAAUCUCCCACCUUAGAAGAAAUUAGAAAUCAACUUCCUAAACUUAAGUAUUAUUCUUCAAGUGUAUCCUUCAUGGAGGCCC
rnacentral:lncRNA from 1 species